rnacentral:rRNA from 1 species
GUCCUUUUGUAUUUUAUUUAAGGUCUAGCCUGCCCACUGAUUUAUUAAAUGGCCGCGGUAUUUUGACCGUGCAAAGGUAGCAUAAUCAUUAGUUUUUUAAUUGAAAGCUGGCAUGAAAGGUUGAAUGAGAAAAUAACUGUCUCUAUUUAAUUGUUAUAAUUUUAUUUUUAAGUUAAAAAGCUUAAAUGAUUUUAAAAGACGAGAAGACCCUAUAGAGUUUGAUAUUAAGUGUAAAAAAUUUUUUUAGAAUUUAUGUAUUUUCUUUAUAUUUAUUAUUUAAUUGGGGUGAUUGAAAAAUUAAUAAAACUUUUUAUAUACUUUUUCAUUUAUUUAUGUUUAUUUGAUCCAAUGUUUUUGAUUAUAAGAUUAAAUUACCUUAGGGAUAACAGCGUAAUUUUUUUUGAGAGUUCAUAUCGAAAAAAAAGGUUGCGA